GGGGAGUGAAACAGACCUGAAACCGAACGCCUACAAGCAGUGGGAGCCUCUUUACGGGGUGACCGCGUACCUUUUGUAUAAUGGGUCAGCGAGUUAGUCUGGCGAGCAAGCCUAAGCCGUUAGGUGGAGGCAUAGCGAAAGCGAGUCUUAAUAGGGCGUCGAGUUCGUCGGAUUAGACCCGAAACCGGGUGAUCUAGCCAUGGGCAGGUUGAAGGUGCGGUAAC
rnacentral:rRNA from 1 species